GAAAUGAUCGCCUAACCUGCUCUUGGUCUCGCCGAUAUAUAGGAGUCCACACCUGGAACAGCGGAUGCAGUAGAUGAGGUUGGAUGAGAUGCAAGUGAACGUCUGCCUCCCCUGAAAGGACCGUAGGAAUCCCUGGACAGAGUCAAGGGAGGAGGUAUAGGGACAGAUCAUAGAGUCAUA